CGUUUAGGGGUAAACCUGAGAAAUCCGAAAGGUCGAAGGGAGAAAUUCAUUCGCGUUUCGACGUCGGAGGCGACGGUAGACGCGACGGGGUCCGUACGCGGUCCCCGCGCUCCACCGACGCGUUCGACCGGCGACGAACGCGUGCACUUUUCUCCUGGUAGGACGUCGCGAUCCGUUGGGCGUCGGUCUACGAUUCGAGAGGGAGCCCGCCGUUCCUUAACGGAAAGGCGGACCUCACGAUAUCCGACCGACUCGCUCGACGGUACACCGAAUGGUUCGAGGCCGCUCGUUUUUCGGAGCGUCCGACCCGCGGCAAGCGCGCCCGAUGCGUCGGCGACCGGACCUAGCGCCGGUUCCGACCUCGGGUGACUGUUGGCCGCGGAGUUCUCGGACAGACCUCGCGACCGAUCGGCGACGCUAUAGCUUUGGAUACUUUCAGGACCCGUCUUGAAACACGGACCAAGGAGUYUAGCAUGUGCGCGAGUCAUUGGGAAUUACUAAACCUAAAGGCGCAAUGAAAGUGAAGGUCUUCCUAGCGAAGACCGAGGGAAGACGGACGGUUCGGCCUUAAAACCGGCCGUCUCGCAUUCCCGGGGCGUCUCGUUCUCAUCGCGAGAAGAGGCGCACCAAGAGCGUACACGCUGGGACCCGAAAGAUGGUGAACUAUGCCUGGUCAGGACGAAGUCAGGGGAAACCCUGAUGGAGGUCCGUAGCGAUUCUGACGUGCAAAUCGAUCGUCGGAACUGGGUAUAGGGGCGAAAGACUAAUCGAACCAUC
rnacentral:rRNA from 1 species